GUAAAGCCAGGCAACGCCUGAACCUGCUGUGCUUGCAGCAGUCAGAGCACUCACAAAGGCAGGUGGUGCUGCUUGCAGCAUCAGUGCUCUUAUGUAACAUGUUUCUUUAACAGCAGUUGAAAAUGAUUCCUCUGCCUGAAUGAGGGGAAGAAAGCACUUCAUUUGAAGAUGGGAAGGUGACGCAUGGACUCACAGCCACCCAUGUUUUAUACUGAGGAGGGCUCCCCAGUGCACGUUGCUGCUACAGGACCUCAGUAAACAACAGCCCCAUACCUUCCAAAGUGAUAUAUCUACUGAAAUCAGGGAGGGCUGUUUAAAAAAAAAAUUAAAAAAAUCAAUCCAAACCCAGCAGGUUUUCAGCUGCACAUCUGUGGAGAAAAAAAUCCUAACCAAGGCCAUAAAACCAGGCUGCAUGAGUGGAAAUGGAGAUGGAGCAACACGUGUCUGCUGCAAGGUGGGUGGUGUAAGCACUCGAGAGAUCAGGAGCCAUUAUCCAGGGCUGCACUGUGUUUGCCUU